rnacentral:rRNA from 1 species
AGGAUGAACGCUGGCGGCGUGCCUAAUACAUGCAAGUCGAGCGGCAGCGCGGUCUUCGGACUGGCGGCGAGCGGCGGACGGCUGAGUAACGCGUAGGAAUGUACCCCAAAGUGAGGGAUAAGCACCAGAAAUGGUGUCUAAUACCGCAUGUGAUCUAUGGAUUAAAGCUUCGGCGCUUUGGGAACAGCCUGCGUAUGAUUAGCUUGUUGGUGAGGUAAUAGCUCACCAAGGCGACGAUCAUUAGCUGGUCUGAGAGGAUGAUCAGCCAGACUGGGACUGAGACACGGCCCAGACUCCUACGGGAGGCAGCAGUAGGGAAUUUUCCACAAUGGGCGAAAGCCUGAUGGAGCAACGCCGCGUGCAGGAUGAAGGCCUUCGGGUUGUAACCCCUUUCAGCAGGGACGAAGCGAAAGUGACGGUACCUGCAGAAGAAGCGCCGGCUAACUACGUGCCAGCAGCCGCGGUAAUCGUGA